rnacentral:rRNA from 1 species
GCGGUAAUACGUAGGGUGCAAGCGUUGUCCGGAAUUACUGGGCGUAAAGAGUUCGUAGGCGGUUUGUCGCGUCGUUUGUGAAAACCAGCAGCUCAACUGCUGGCUUGCAGGCGAUACGGGCAGACUUGAGUACUGCAGGGGAGACUGGAAUUCCUGGUGUAGCGGUGAAAUGCGCAGAUAUCAGGAGGAACACCGGUGGCGAAGGCGGGUCUCUGGGCAGUAACUGACGCUGAGGAACGAAAGCGUGGGUAGCGAACAGGAUUA